rnacentral:rRNA from 1 species
GACGAACGCUGGCGGCGUGCCUAACACAUGCAAGUCGAACGGAAAGACCCUGCUUUUGUGGGGUUCCCGAGUGGCGAACGCGUGAGUAACACGUGAGUAACCUGCCCUUGUCUUUGGGAUAACUUCAGGAAACUGGGGCUAAUACCGGAUAGGAUCUCCUGCACCAUGGUGGGCGUUGGAAAGUUUCGGCGGUUGGGGAUGGACUCGCGGCUUAUGAGCUUGUUGGUCGGGUAGUGGCUUACCAAGUCUUAGAAGGGUAGCCGGCCUGGGAGGGUGAACGGCCACAUGGGGACUGAGGGACGGAGCAGACGGGUACGGGAGGCAGCAGUGGGAAAUAUGGCACAGUGGGCGCAAGUCUGAUGCAGCGGCGUCGCGUGCGGGAAGACCUCCUUCGGGGUGUGAACCGCUUUCGCCUGAGACGAAGCGGGAGUGACGGUACUGAGUAAAGAAGCACCGGCUAACUACGUG